rnacentral:lncRNA from 1 species
AGUUUAUUUCCUAACCAGUUUACAGAGUUUCUGAGCUCACCAAGACCCUAUUGUGAGUGGCGCUAGACAGCAAUGCAACACUGGCUGUACUUAUUCAAAAGGAUUAAGCCUAAGCCUGUUGCUGAGUACUCAGAGGUGCCAGAGGCUAGGUUUGGGUAGACAACGGAAAGCAGCAGUCUCUUUGUCCAACCUACCCAGUGGGAGAGACCUCAGCUGUCCAGAAUGGAAGCUGCAGGUCAGUACAUCUGCUUGUCUUCUGUACUUAGAAAUACAGUUAAAGGAAACAAAACUCCGUGACUUCACCUUUGGAUUAGUACUGAAAUUUUGCCUGUGUGUUAUUCCCCUAAUUACAAUUCCCAAAUUGUGGAGUGCAAUGAGAAAAAUAAGUUAUGCUGCUAACUACAAGUGUGAAAUGGAAAUGUAGCUACAAGAAAUUGAAUUAUUUCCAGAAAGAAUAAUUUUCCAAAGCUAUUGUUCAUUUAACAAAUACAAGAAAAAUGUGACAGUCAAUGAAAGGGAAAAUUACUGCUGAUCUUUUUUUUUUUUUUUUUUUUUCCAGGUCUUUUGUAAUGUUUUAUACCACUUUGCUGAUCUGACCUAGAGCACAGCCAUAUAAAGAGUUGCAUUGGCACAACUGAGCAGAAAAUAAAUUGGGGAUGAGGUUGAGAGAGUCA